UAGGGAAUCUUCCGCAAUGGGCGAAAGCCUGACGGAGCAACGCCGCGUGAGUGAUGAAGGCCUUCGGAUCGUAAAACUCUGUUAUUAGGGAAGAACAAAUGUGUAAGUAACUAUGCACGUCUUGACGGUACCUAAUCAGAAAGCCACGGCUAACUACGUGCCAGCAGCCGCGGUAAUACGUAGGUGGCAAGCGUUAUCCGGAAUUAUUGGGCGUAAAGCGCGCGUAGGCGGUUUUUUAAGUCUGAUGUGAAAGCCCACGGCUCAACCGUGGAGGGUCAUUGGAAACUGGAAAACUUGAGUGCAGAAGAGGAAAGUGGAAUUCCGUGUGUAGCGGUGAAAUGCGCAGAGAUAUGGAGGAACACCAGUGGCGAAGGCGACUUUCUGGUCUGUAACUGACGCUGAUGUGCGAAAGCGUGGGGAUCAAACAGG
rnacentral:rRNA from 1 species